ensembl:lncRNA
UUAGAGGGGGAGAUGGUGGAAUCAGAGGGACAGAGAUAUCUUUUAGUAGAUGAAGGGGAGCGUUUAGGUGACAGUCAGGGGGAAUGUGACUCUUCUCCAGCCUGGUGUCCCUGUCAGUUUAGGUGACAGUCAGGGGGAAUGUGACUCCUCUCCAGCCUGGUGUCCCUAUCAGUUUAGGUGACCGGCAGGGGGAAUGUGACUCCUCUCCAGCCUGGUGUCCCUGUCAGUUUAGGUGACAGUCAGGGGGAAUGUGACUCCUCUCCAGCCUGGUGUCCCUGUCAGUUUAGGUGACAGUCAGGGGGAAUGUGACUCCUCUCCAGCCAGGUGUCCCUGUCAGUUUAUAGGUGACAGUCAGGGGGAAUGUGACUCCUCUCCAGCCUGGUGUCCCUGUCAGUUUAUAGGUGACAGUCAGGGGGAAUGUGACUCCUCUCCAGCCAGGUGUCCCUGUCAGU